GUACAGUACAGAGACAGAGGCUGUAUAGAGUUUUUAAUACACCAGGUACAAUUCUUAUAAACCAAUCACACUGUUCUUAUUACAUAAGUCAUUGGGAAAACACCAUAGAUAGUACCUAAUUACCGUUUAUAAAAGAUGACAAGGAACAGUCAUAAAAAUACAUAGUGUAGGAUUACUAUUUUUCUCUCAUGAUUCAAACAAUAAACGCAUAAUUUUUAAAAAAAAUGAAUGAAAAUGUGCAUGAAGUAAUAUUUGCUAUACAAAAAAUGACUCGUUGGAUAUGGCAGGCACUUGAUCCACUUCCAAGUCUAACGUGCGGAACACUGUGGAAACAUCAAGCACCAAAACCAGCUGUUUGGUUAGAAUAUUCUCCCCCUUCCCCCGACUCCUCCUCUUCCUUACAACCCAGAAAAUACAUUAAAAAGCAGAGAAAGGAGUAAUACGGUAGCAAUAUGUUUGGAACGGAGGGCGAUAUCACUUAUUGAGAAGCAUAUAAAACUAUGGUGAGAGAGUGUGAAAGAGAGGAAAAGAGGCAAACAGACAGAGAGAGAGAGUGAGAGAGAGAGAGAGGGGCGAAGAGAGAGAGAGAGAGAGGCGAAGAGAGAAAGAGAGAGAGAGAGGGGCGAAGAGAGAGAGAGAGAGAGAGAGGGGCGAAGAGAAAGAGAGAGAGAGAGAGGGGCGGAGAGAGAGAGAGAGAGGCGAAGAGAGAAAGAGAGAGAGAGAGGGGCGAAGAGAGAGAGAGA
ensembl:lncRNA